AUUGAACGCUGGCGGCAGGCCUAACACAUGCAAGUCGAACGAGUGGCGGACGGGUGAGUAAUGUCUGGGAAACUGCCUGAUGGAGGGGGAUAACUACUGGAAACGGUAGCUAAUACCGCAUACCAUCAGAUGUGCCCAGAUGGGUUUAGCUAGUUGGUGGUGUAACGGCUCACCAAGGCGACGAUCCCUAGCUGGUCUGAGAGGAUGACCAGACAAACGGGAACUGUGAAACGGUCCAGACUCCUACGGGAGGAAGGAGGGGGGAAUAUUGGACAAUGGGCGCAAGCCUGAGGCAGCCAUGCCGCGUGUAUGAAGAAGGCAUUCGGGUUGUAAAGUACUUUCAGCGGGGAGGCGUUACCCGCAGAAGAAGCACCGGCUAACUCCGUGCCAGCAGCCGCGGUAAUUC
rnacentral:rRNA from 1 species